rnacentral:rRNA from 1 species
UACAGAGGUCCCAAGCGUUGUUCGGAUUCACUGGGCGUAAAGGGUGCGUAGGUGGCUUGGUAAGCUUGAUGUGAAAUCUCCGGGCUUAACCCGGAAAUGGCAUUGAAUACUAUUGAGCUGGAGGUUUGGAGGGGGGACUGGAAUUCUCGGUGUAGCAGUGAAAUGCGUAGAUAUCGAGAGGAACACCAGUGGCGAAGGCGAGUCCCUGGACAACACCUGACACUGAGGCACGAAAGCUAGGGGAGCAAACAGG